rnacentral:sRNA from 1 species
GCUGGGCAUGGUGGUGCACACCCAUAAUCCCAGCAGCUCAGGAGGCUGAGGCAGGAGGAUUGCAAGUUUAAAGCCAGUCUCGGCAACUUAGCAAGGCUUUAAACAACUCAGUGAGACCCUGUCUCUA